rnacentral:rRNA from 1 species
GACGAACGCUGGCGGCGCGCCUAACACAUGCAAGUCGAACGAGCGAGAGAGAGCUUGCUUUCUCAAGCGAGUGGCGAACGGGUGAGUAACGCGUGAGGAACCUGCCUCAAAGAGGGGGACAACAGUUGGAAGCGACUGCUAAUACCGCAUAAGCCCACGACCCGGCAUCGGGUAGAGGGAAAAGGAGCAAUCCGCUUUGAGAUGGCCUCGCGUCCGAUUAGCUAGUUGGUGAGGUAACGGCCCACCAAGGCGACGAUCGGUAGCCGGACUGAGAGGUUGAACGGCCACAUUGGGACUGAGACACGGCCCAGACUCCUACGGGAGGCAGCAGUGGGGAAUAUUGCACAAUGGGGGAAACCCUGAUGCAGCGACGCCGCGUGGAGGAAGAAGGUCUUCGGAUUGUAAACUCCUGUUGUUGAGGAAGAUAAUGAUGGUACUCAACAAGGAAGGGACGGCUAACUACGU